CCACCAGUACCUCUGCAACUCCCACAACCUCCGCCGUCGUCACCAACACGUCCUCCACUAUUAGAAGGAGAUCUAUCACUAUGAUUGUGUUCUUCAUCUUCUUAGGUUAAAGAUUGAUUCUCCAGAUUCAAAGAUUGAUAAUUUUGUUUUUGAUUUUCAAUUUCUUAAUUUCGAGUUGAAGAUUCAGAGAGAUCUUUGCAUCACCUUCUUCCUCGUUGCCACUACUAUUCCAGCAUCACCCAAAAAAUAAUUUCUUUCUCUUUAUUUUCGAAAAUUACUAGUAAUAUAUUUACUUGAUUUGGGGCAAGAGUAAAAUUCUCAUAUACACGGUGAGAAGAGGAAAAAAGGGAGCGACUGAGAGAAAGAAAGAUCACUAGAAGAAGAACAGUUCAAAGGGAGAUUUUUGCAGAGAAGAAUAGUAGGGGAUCGAUUUAUGUCGUCUAGUUCUUCAAUUGAUCUGUUGUUGGUUUCAUCUCUGGUCAGAAUCUCCUUCCUCUGUUGUUGUAUUUGCAUGCAAUUCUGCUCUCUUCAACCAACGAAAAUAGAGUUUCAAACGGCUUCGAUGCGUUUGAGAUCAAUACGAGAAGAAUAGUAGGGAUCGAUUUAUGUCGUCUAGUUCUUCAAUUGAUAUGUUGUUGAUUUCAUCUCUGGUCAUAAUCUCCUUCCUUUGUUGUUGUAUUUGCAUGCAAUUCUGCAUCUUGUUGUAGCUCUUGUAUUGUCGUCUACUGCCUGAAAAAUGUAGAUGAGUAAUAAUGUUGAGUAGUUCAAUGAGUUGUAUUUGGAAUUUGAGCAAUCACGGAGGCAUUGUGGACUGUUGAGAGUGGAAUUGAAUAACAUGUUGUUAAGAUUCUAGAGUAGUUGUGUGUUAACAUGAACAAGACAUCGUCAUCUUGUUCUCGGCAUGAUCUUUGUGGUAAUUACAUGUUUUAACAUUUAGGUUUCUAGGAAUUUGAAAUUACAUUGAGCAUUAGAGGUAACAUCCUUAUUAUCCUGAGGUUUGGUUGUUAUUUGGAUGUGUCAAUUACCAGAAAUGCCUUUUGUGUAUCGGAAUCUGCCUCUUGUUGUAGCUCUUGUAUGUCAGUUACCUCCUUGAAAAAUUUAGACAUUGCUGAAAAAGGGUUGUAGGUUGUGGUGUAUUUUGAAUUUGAGCAAUUACAGAUGCAAUGUGGAGAGCUGUUGAGAGUGGAACUGGAAACAUGUUGUUAGGAUUCCAGAGUAUUGUGUGUUAAAGUGAAGAAUACAACACCAUUUUUGUUAUUGGCAUGAAUUUUGGGGUAGUUACAUGUUUUAACAUUUUAGGCGAUUUUGUUGUAAUGUAGUUACGGAGAAUAAUGGAAAUUUGGGUUGCAUUUUGAUUUUGAUUCUAAAAUGUAGUUACCGAGAAUACACUAGUGGAAAAUGAGAUUUCCGUGACCCACAUCGGACCCUCAAUGACUGUAGUUAGACCGUUGACCAAAUAUAGCGGUCUCCAAUGUGAUAAAAACAUGGAAAAUUGUGAGAUGACUAAUAACGGUCUCUGAAUAAUUACUAUUGACUAUUGUUCCUUAAAUCUACUGCCGAUCCCGCGACCCACAAAAAACCGAUUUAUAUUUGAUACUUUUUUAUUACUUGAUCUAAGAUAUAAAUAUCUCUUUCUCUCUCUCCCAUUUCUCAUCUCACUUUCUCUUUCUUCUUCUACGCUCGGUCUCCUGCGCCUCUCUCAUCCAUCUUCCUCAUCCUCACAACCAAAUCAAAACUGCAAAAAAAAAAUCAAUUAAAUCAUUGCUCUUAAACACAACCCCUUUCACCAUCUUCUUCAUCUCCUCCAAAAAAAUCAUCGAAUUUUCCAAUAAAACCUGGAACCACAAACGUAAGCAAAGAGGAAGAAAACCAUUGUUCUUGAACCAUCUUCUUCUUUUCAUCUUUGCGGUAAGAUAUGAAGAUGGAAGAAUAAUCCUGUUAAAAAUGGGCGUGGGUUUGGUUUCUUUGAAGGAUUUGGAUGCUUGGGUAUCCAUCAACAGCUGAAAUUAAUCACCAGUUUGGGUGUUGAAGAAGAUGGCGCUCCGGUUUGUACUACGAAAUCUGCCAGCAACUAGAGAUUUCUGUGUUGAGUAUUGUUCAAUUUAGUGGUGGUGGUCUUAGAGGUGACAAAUAACUUAGUCAUGUUUGAAUUUAGAAGAAGUAGAUAUAUAUGGUUAAUUCUAUGGUACUUUGAAAACUCGUAGCUUUUCUAAAAUAUCCCUAAUGUGUUUGCAAGGGUGUUAAUCGUUUUCAGAAAAUUGUCUCAGUUGUUGAAUUUAUAUGUCGAGAAUGUCAAUCUUUAUGGGUUUUGAUCUAUUUUGGAUGUUUAGUUCUUAUGGUUGAUUAGGUUUGGGUCGAACAUUCAAGAAUUGUUACGUGUCAUACGUUUUUGAUUUGAUCUUCUUAUUAUUUCUUAAAUUAAAGUGGUACUGCUAGUGUGAAUAUUUUCCAGACUUUGAUGGAACUUGGUUGUUCAGCUCUAGUAUGUAUUAUUUAGGUCCCAAAAACAAUCUAUAACAUGUGUGAAGCAGUUUAUGCUCAAAGACAAAGAUUUGAGGUUGGCGUUUUCUUUUUGUUUGUUUGUUUGUUUAUUUUCCGGCACGUGCUACUGUUUUAAUUAAGUUGAUUUUUCCGUUAAUGAAAUGUUUUGCUAUUUGUGUCCUUUGGACUUGCUUAUCUCUGGUUGAAUCUGUUGAGUUGUAGUUUUGUUUUUGACCCCUGGUUUUGAUUUACUUCAGAUUUUUAACUCUAUUAUGAAAUAUCUUGGGGUAAUAUUUGUUGUAUAAUAGUUUUCACUUCCUGCAAGGUUGGUUUUGAUGUCCGCUACAGCAGGGACUGCGAGAUACAGAGAUUACUUCAAGGACCUUGGUAGGGAUGAAAGGGUUGAUGUUCUUGCAAUUCCAACUUCCGGCCAGCAAACAAUUUUCCAAGAAAAAGUUUUAUAUCUUGAACAUGCAAUUAAAUCUAUUCCUUCUUGAUCUAUUAAAAAUGCUUUCACAUGCGCGGCCCCGUUAUUUUUACAAUUUUUGUAACUUCUGUCAAGAUAUGGCAGUAAGUGUUCAGCUCAUAUUGUUUUAAUCUUCUCAAUUGGGAUAUUUGCCUGAGUUCAUUGAGUUUUUAGUUGUGUUUUAGUUUGUUGAAGCAAAUAUUCAUGUCACACUUCCUAAUGUCUUGGUAAUUCUGUGACGGUGAUUGUAUCUUAUUGUUAACCAGGUUUCUGAACUUCUUGGGCUAAACUAAGAGUCCUUGUCUAGUACAUACUGUUCUGGCCCAAGCCCCGACUCGUCUGAUGCUGACAUCAAGCCUAAAGUGCACAAACUCAUUCAUGAUCUGGUGUUGCAUAUUCAUGAAAAUGAACCUGAUAUCGAGAAGAGUAUUCUGGUUUUCCUCCCAACAUACUAUUCACUGGAGCAGCAGUAUUUCCUUUUAAGCCCUUUGAGUUCUAUUUUCAAAGUGCACAUUCUGCAUAGCAGCAUUGAUACUGAACAAGCUUUAAAGACCAUGAAAAUUUGGAAGUCACAUCGUAAGGUUUGUAUUGUACUGCUUGUUUCUGUUGGUGGAUAUCAAUACCUACCUCGCGUUACUAGUCUUAUGUCAACCACACUUUAAUGGUUUCUGGAUAUAUAGUCAUUUUUUGAAACAAAAAGUCGUAUUUUUUAUAUUAAAAAAAUUAAACCUCUAGUAUAAAUUCUGGUUCCGCCACCGUCAAAACUUGUUGAGAUUUUAGUUCACAUCUCAGACCUAAGUUAGCUUCAUAAUACCUGAAGCAAUAUCGCCUGAGUUGCACAAACCCCAGGCUUUUGUUACUCCUUAUCAUCUGCUCUUUUUGUUUGACCUACUCCCCAGUCCUAGUGUCCUACUCCCUAAACAGUAUCAGAACAUAUAUGAAGUUAUUCAUUCCACAUGCAUGUGUCAAAUUUUUAUAAUUUGACGCUUCUCUGAAUUUGAAUUGUUCGAUUAUACACUACAUGUUAUUUUAGCUACCAACAUUGCAGAAUCAUCAGUUACCAUUCCUGGAGUGGCAUUUGUUGUUGAUUCUUGUCGAGUUUUACAAGUCUUCUGGGAUAAUAACAGGAAAAGGAUGCCGCUGAACUUUUAUGGGUAUCCAAGUCUCAAGUAAGAAGAAGAUGUAUUAUACCAUGUUUGAUAGGUUGCUAGCGAGCCUAACAACCUUUUUUGUUUUAAUCGACUCUAGGCUGAGCAGCGUAAAGGCAGGACAGGUCGACUCUGCCAGUUCGUCGUCCAUUUGGACAGGAUCAGUUGUUUGCAGAGUAUAUAGCCAGCUAUUUUGGUGGGGAUGAUGAGAGCAGUGUGCUAACUGGUAAGAAGGAAUCCAUGGGUAACCUUUGUGCAUAUCAGUUCUGGCAGCGUGCUUUUAAGGACAAGCAUCGUGUAGAGCGGCUGAAGCACCUUCUCAAGUUUGAUGAACCAAAUACUACUAAAAUACUCUUCCCUAAACUUGAAGAAGAGUGGUUUUCUUUCCACAAUCUUUUGCAGCCAUCCCUGCAUCAGGUUUCAGAAAUACUUCAUGUCUUGAUGGUCAUCUUUACCCCAGAUAGUAUUAUUAGUUAUUAAGUUGCAUAUGCUUCUACUGGAGGGCAGUUUGGAGUCCAGAUCAUUGAUUGAAUUCUGAACGAUGUUUUUUGUCGUAUGUGAACCAGGGACAAACACAUGGGUGCUCUACUUGAUAUCAAUCAUGAAGUAUUGUCUAAAUUCAUCGUCAUCGGAGGUGCUUAUCGUUUUAUUGUUCAAAAUGUUGUUGUUAGAACUUACUAGCUCAGGCAUGUAUUGUUAUGAACUCGGAAUUUCAUCCCUUUUUGUGUAGUUUGAAACCCAAUGGAUAAAAUGAAAGAAUGUUGAAUUCACAGUUUGAGUUUAAAUUUGAAGUAUCAUUCGAAUUUCAGUUUGUGUUCCACUUAAUUUGACUUGACAUUGAUGCAGUCAGAUUAUUUCAGAUUUAGCCAUUCAGGCAUUUCAGCAAAUCUGAAUCUAUAUUUUUUUUAUAUUAUAAUUUAAAUCUGAGACCCACUUCUAAUGGUCUGUACCUCGUUACCCCUAAAAUCGGUUGUAAAUUUUGAGACCCACGGCUCAGGGUCGUACGAGACAUCAACGCUUUAUCAGAGACCCCAACAGAUACGGUUGAAAGUAGUCGUAUAACACGUAUAUAUGACAUGUCCUGACGGUCGCGGAACUUCUUUUUCCACUAGUGAUAAUUCAUACAUGUUUCUGUGAGUAGGGAUACUUACGGAUUCGUAGUGAGACCUCAGCAUUUGAAGAGAUAUCAAGAGUAUGCUAAUAUCUUCAAGGAGGAAGAAGAUGAGCGAUCAGACAGAUGGAGUAACUUCUUGGAGAGGCAGGCAUUUUCUGCUCAACUACACUUAAAUAGCUUAUCAAAAGAUGGAGAUAACACAACAUCAGGUGCCGAAGCUUCAGAAUGGGAACCAACAACUUUGUUGGAGAACGGUGUGGAAGAAGAUGAUACGAAUAGUGGGUCAAGGUCGGGUUCAGAUGGUUUCAACUCAGAGACAAGUAUGCCACAACCAAUUAAGAAUGUAAAGACUCAUAAAAUACAAAUAUGGGGUGAAAUUAGACCAUCUCUUGGUACUAUCGAGCAAAUGAUGAGUGUUCGUGUUAUGAAAAGCAAGAAAACAUUAAAAAGUGAGCAGUAUGCAAAAACCGCAAAUCAGCUUGGCUUGACUGAAGAUGAUUCUGAAGAUGAGUUCUAUGAUCUAAAGAGAUCAGACUCAAUACAAGAUGCCAAUUUAUAAAAAUCCCCUACCACUACAACAAACUGACGUAUUUGUGACAUUAUGUUUGCAACAUUAUAGAAAAUUUCAUAAAUAUUAGUUAUGUGUGACGGUUUUAGUGUCACAAAUGUAUUGUGUUUGCUAAAUUCCCAGAAGUGUCGGAACAGGUUAUUUGCUACACCUGCCAUUG